GUAUCAAUAUAAUAUACAUAAAUUAUUUCAAUUUUCUAAGACGUUAAAAUAACAGUUUUCGAACUUUUAGCCUCUAAAAACUGGUUUUGAACUCCACGUCCCAACUCAUUUUUAACAUGCGCCUGCAGCCCUGCAUCCCAGGAUUGUGUCACGCGAAACCAAAUUGCCCCCGUUCCCACGUGCCGCCAUCGUUCCUCGCCUCCCGUCCAAUGGCCGCCGCGGUGACAGAGGCGUUCCGCGUGUUCAGAAGCCCAAAGGCUCCGCGGAAGAAGAAGCAGGCGUGGUUGCCCGUGCUGCGGCGGUGCCAUCUCCCCCUGCUGGGCCUCCGGCGUCAUCGAUGCAGAAGUCCACAACGUGUUCGUCGGAAUGCUUGAGAGAGCGGAGCUCAACAGGCCAUCAACGACAUCUGCCAAGGGUUUUCUUGGUUCCGGCAAAUAUCUACAUUGCUCCAUUUCUGCGCUGUAUUCGGUGGAAAUGCUUUGCUACAUUGCGCAUAACAGUGAUCAUGGGCUCCGCACGAAGUAGCUAGGCGCUGGAGGGAAGUUCCUCACCCAUGCCAAGAUGGUCGUAUUUCUCCUACCCAAUCCGUUGUAAUAGUGGAGUGGUCCUUCUGUUUGCUGGGGAAGUGAAGUAGUCUGGUUGUCAUGUUGGACUGUGGACCGAUGUAAUCAAAAAUUGAAUUUACGUGUGGGUUAUCAGGUUAUGCAACAUAAAACCAGUACUAUCGGGUCCGUGUUCAGAAUCUCUCUCUCAUGGUUGUGAUUUUCUUAUUACUAUCAAGCAACUUAUUGUACAGCUGCUUUAUGGUAAAACCUUUCUAAGCCACGUAUUUCUUGGUGUUUCGAAUUUUUUUGAGAUAUUCCAUUUAUGUGAUAGUAUAUCUACCUUCCAUCUUUCCGUGGUAUUCAAUAUUUACCUAGGUAGUGAUGAACCAAUAUGUUCAGCUAGAUAUAAUUAUUUUCUUUCACUGUCAGCUAGCUGUUUGGUUCCUUCAGUUCUCUGAUCUGCUUGAUGAACAUGGCUCACAGCAGGGUAGACUGCAGGCUUCAGAUGACCUGCUGAGAUUCACGAUAUGCAAGUAUGUGCCCUUACAACCCAACGGAGGUUGCUACCUGUGGUGGUCGACAUGGAAUGUGCUUAGUUGAUCGCCGCUAUGCUCGGAAUAGUUCCCAAGACAAGUGGAUAACUGCUGUCUCUUUGGGGGACAUAACAAUAAGCAUCUAAUACCAAUACAUGGCUCCCCAAAUAAAAGCCAGUAUAAGGCAGCGAACCUUGCAAGUUGAUGAAUGAGGUACCUGAUCAUUCUGCUAUUCCAUCCAUGACUCCAGAAGCCAGUGUGAGCUGGAGGCUGGGCACACCCGACACGAUGGUGCAAACAUAGUUCUGAACUGAACCAAAAGAAAGGCAUGCUCGAUGCUCCAUAUACAAGUCCAAUGCAACCACUGAGCUCAAACAAUUAUGUUGUUUCUUCUAUAAUUCUAUGGAUUAUGUGUUUGGAGGUGCAAUCAUUAAGCUGUGCCACAUGUCUGUUUUGGUACUUGAGUCUUUAAGUGUGCACACAGUGUUGGUGCAAGCUGAGGUACAAUUGGCUAAUCUUCUUCAGUUUUCCAGGUUUCAGUGAAGAUGGCUAUUUCAUACUGGUGGAUGCCAAUAUCUUGCUGAACAGAAAGUGGCAGGCCUGGUGGGUAUCAAUAUCUUCCUUAACAGGAAGUGGUAGGGACCUAGGCGCAUGAAGUUCACCAUGUUUUAUCUUCGUUACAGAGUUGAUAAAAGAAAUGCUCUUUUCAUGCCUGGCCCUUACAACUAUAUUACUGGACUCAAAUGAUCAUGCUAUUUCUUCUAUUGCAAGUGUAUGGACACGGAGACCCAGCGAUGAAGCUGUGCUCUCAUUCUCAUCUAUGUCUGUUUUGGUAGCUGAGCUACAGAUGCAGGCAGAAAAAGUUGGUGAAGUUUGUGUGCCAAAAUGCAUCAACAGGUAUUAACAUACUAUUUUUAUACCAUAUAUUUUUGUUCUAGAACGCUGCUGGUUUUAUUUUUCACAACCGAAGAGCAGCCUAAGACACAUCAUAACAGAAACAAUCUUGAUUACUGGCCCAAUUUGAAUUUUGGCAAAGCUUUACAUGAGCUCAGCUAAAAGAGGAGGGGAUGAAUGCAGUGGCGGCUCCAGGAUUUACAUACUAGGUAUUCAUUGCAAAAAAAAAUCUCAAAGCAAUAUAUGAACAAAAACGGCUGCUAUGUAGUAUAAGACAUAUGACCAUAAUUUUAGUACCACUAUAACAAUUUUUAAAUCAAGUAUCAAUACGUCAAUACUUCUUUUUUGC